rnacentral:rRNA from 1 species
UACGGAGGGGGCUAGCGUUGUUCGGAAUUACUGGGCGUAAAGCGCGCGUAGGCGGAUCUGCAAGUCGGGGGUGAAAUCCCUCGGCUUAACCGGGGAACUGCGUCUGAUACUGGAUGGCUUGAGUUUGGGAGAGGGAUGCGGAAUUCCAGGUGUAGCGGUGAAAUGCGUAGAUAUCUGGAGGAACACCGGUGGCGAAGGCGGCAUCCUGGACCAACACUGACGCUGAGGAGCGAAAGCCAGGGGAGCAAACGGG